rnacentral:rRNA from 1 species
GGGCGCAAGCCUGAUGCAGCAACGCCGUGUGAGUGAAGAAGGUUUUCGGAUCGUAAAACUCUGUCCUAAGGGAAGAAACAAAUGACGGUACCUUAGGAGGAAGCCCCGGGCUAACUACGUGCCAGCAGCCGCGGUAAUACGUAGGGGGCAAGCGUUAUCCGGAAUCACUGGGCGUAAAGGGUGCGUAGGCGGCUUAGCAAGCCAGGGGUGAAAGGCAUUGGCUCAACCAAUGUAAGCCUUUGGAACUGUUAAGCUUGAGUGCAGGAGAGGUAAGUGGAAUUCCUAGUGUAGAGGUGAAAAUUCGUAGAUAUUAGGAGGAACACCAGUGGCGAAGGCGACUUACUGGACUGUAACUGACGCUGAUGCACGAAAGCGUGGGUAGCGAACAGGAUUAGAUACCCUGGUAG